rnacentral:rRNA from 1 species
CCUACGGGGCGCUGCAGUGGGGGAUAUUGCACAAUGGGGGAAACCCUGAUGCAGCGACGCCGCGUGGGUGAAGAAGUAUUUCGGUAUGUAAAGCCCUAUCAGCAGGGAAGAAAGAAGACGGUACCUGACUAAGAAGCCCCGGCUAACUACGUGCCAGCAGCCGCGGUAAUACGUAGGGGGCGAGCGUUAUCCGGAUUCACUGGGUGUAAAGGGAGCGUAGACGGCCGUGCAAGCCAGGAGUGAAAGCCCGGGGCCCAACCCCGGGACUGCUCUUUGAACUGUGCGGCUGGAGUGCGGGAGGGGCAGGCGGAAUUCCUGGUGUAGCGGUGAAAUGCGUAGAUAUCAGGAGGAACACCGGCGGCGAAGGCGGCCUGCUGGACCGCGACUGACGUUGAGGCUCGAAAGCGUGGGGAGCGAACAGGAUUAGAUACCCGAGUAGUC